rnacentral:lncRNA from 10 species
UAAACUGAUUUAUUUUUUCAGAGAUUAAAGGUUAAAGAAGCUGAUUUUUGGCCGGGCGCAGUGGUUCAUUAAUCCCAGCACUCUGGGAGGCCGAGGCAGGCGGAUCACCUGAGGUCAGGAGUUUGAGACCAGCCUGACUAAUAUGGUGAAACUCCAUUUCUACUAAAAAUACCAAAAAUUAGCUGGGUGUAGUGGCACGCACCUGUAAUCCCAGCUACUCGGGAGACUGAGGCAGGAGAAUAGCUUGAACCCGGGAGGCAGAGGUUGCAGUGAGCUGAGAUUGUGCCAUUGCACUCCAGCUUGGGCAAUAAGAGUGAAACUCCAUCUCAAAAAAAAAAAAAAAAGAAAAAGAAAGGAAGAAGAAUGAGUUCAAGACCAGCCUGGCCAAUAUGGUGAAACUCCCACCUGUACUAAAAAUACAAAAAUUAGCCGGGCAUGGUGGCAGGCGCCUGUAAUCCCAGCAUUUUUUCCACAGUGCCACAAUGUCCUUGACAAAGGCAGCGCAAACCAGUGGUUCAGGUCCCGCCCCACCCACACCUCGCCUCGGCCCCUAAGCUCCGCCCACUCCCCGCCCCUGAGGUCCAUCGGUGAGAGAAACCAGUCCCAAAGGUCACUCACCGACGGCGCCGCUGGUGUACUGGUAUUAUGCAAGAUGCCCUCGCAAAGGUCACGCGUUACAUAAUCUAUUGACACCUCUAGCAUGGGAUAGUGACACAUAUAACAGAUACUGACACUCUGUCCAUCACUGAACUGUGUGUGUCCCGGGUUCAAGCGAUUCUGGUGCCUCAGCUUCCUGAGUAGCUGGGACUACAGGUGAGCGCCAUCACACCCGGUUACAAUUUAUGUAAUUAUUUUAAUUAUUUUAUGUCUUUAAGAAACAAUUUGCCUCUGUCAUAUCUCACAUUAAAAUGGAAAAAAAAAUUCCUUAUGUUUGUGUUCUAACAAAUUAAAAGUUGUGUUGUCAGGGAAAAUUAAAACUAAGGGUAGUGUCAGUAGGAAUCUUGGUUCCUGCCAGUUUUGUUGUUUGUUAGCAUAUCUUCCUUUACAGGUAGUAUGGUUUCAUUUUCGUAACUGUAACUCUGCUUAUUUUCAGGAAAAAGAAUGCCUGUGUUUCGAAGUUCCUUCUUAGGACGAAACCAGCUGAAGCUGGCGAAAUCCAAGAUGGCGCCUCUGCCCUCAUCCCGGACGGGCCGGGGAUUGGGACUGGCCUGGGGUCUCCUACUCUCCUACUCCGCGCCCCUCCACCAGCAUCCAGUCACACCUCUGCAGCCUUCAGUGUCCUGGAAAUCAUUUUCUCCUCUAAAUUUGCUCACCUUCUUGUUUUCCCAAUCUUAUUUAUUGUCACAGCCAUUCCCCUGCUGGUCCAAGUCAGUAGUCUGAGAGUCAUGCUAGACUCCUCCUUCCUUAUCUAGCCACAGACCUGACUGGUCUGUAGCCUGUUAGGAACCAGGACACACAGCAAGAGGUGAGCCACCAGUGGGUGAGCUAGUGAAGCUUUAUCUGUAUGUGCAGCUGCCACAAGAAGUGUCAUGUGCUUGAAUCAUCCCGAAACCAUCCUCUGCUGUCCAAGGAAAAAUAGUUUCACUUGUUUGCACAUCUGUCUGGCAUCUUGAGCCCAGGGACCGUGUCGCCUGUCUCCAGCCUGACCAACAUGGUGAAACCUCGUCUCUACUAAAAAUACAAAAAAUAGCCGGGUGUGGAAAAAAAAAAAGUUUGUAGAAUGAAUGAAACAAUUAGUUACACCACAGUUAGUGAGUCAUCGAUACUUCAUCAAGGCGUCUUUGCCCUCAGGUUGCUUAGGUAACGGAAAGGAUAAGAACUCCCCACUGUUCUGGGGCGGAUCUUACAUUGCUUUUGGAAGAGGCAAUAGACUUGGCUUUGUCCUUGGGGCUCAGUGAACAGAUUAUCUGUUUUCAUGGUAAGAAAAAUUAGCCAGGCGUGGUGAUGGGUGCCUGUAAUCGCAGCUACUCAGGAGGCUGACACAGGAGAAUCACUUGAACCCAGGAGGCGGAGGUUGCAGUGAGCUAAGAUCUUGCCACUGCACUCCAGCCUGGGCUACAGAGCAAGACUCUGUCUCAAAAACAAACAAACAAAAAACCCAAAAAUAAUGAAAAUGUCUGCCCACCCUUCACUAAGUAAACAUAAUGAAAAUGCACAUCUUGUGCCCUCUUUUGCUUUUAUUCUAUAAUACCCAAGCCUACGUUUUGGAACUAAACCCCACGCCCUUUGUGUGAAAGCCAUGCGGAUCUUCAAAGGGAUCUCUUUAGGGG